ensembl:lncRNA
GCUCAGUUUAAACGCGCCUCAGCGGCUCCUGUUAUAAAGGCUGCGAGUGUGAGACCGAGUCCAGAGCCACAGAGAAACACUUAAACCGAGUUCUUCCUGUGAAGAUUUCCUUCGGUGUGACGUCGUGAGGCGCAUGGCAACGGCAGGAACAGGCUGCAAUAUACAGAAGAGAGAAGAGAUAGUCACGAUCGACGAGUGUAAGGUGGCAUUUUUUCAAACUGGAUUGUGCAGGAAUAAGUAAGUUUUAUAUUUUAAACAAAUCCAUCCCAGGUGAGUAGUGAUACAUUAUAUGUAGCCAGUUCAUACAUGUGCACGUUACUUCAUAUGUAAGCCUUAGUAAAACAACUUUAAUUUUUUAACACUUUGUGCCAACAAUUUGAACCACAAUGCCUGAAAUAUCCACACAAAAAAAUUUAAAAAAUAAAAAAAAAUAAAAAUUCUGUCUUCAUUGCUUCAAAGCGUGUGGAUAUAUUGUGAGCUCUGAUUUUGGGUUGGACAAUAUAUUGUUCAACAGGUAUACACACACACGAGUGCUUACAAUUUUUUGUGAAUGCUCUCAAAUGAUCAAUUUUUAAUGGAUUAUAUUGUUUAAAUCAACAUGUGCAAUAUGUAUUACAAUUAUUUAAACAUGUUAAUUUUGUUCAUACCGUGCAGCUACUUUUCGUUCUUUUCCCCACAGAUACUUUUCCGUCUGAUUAACAUUUAAAUGAUCGUGAUGCAUGUAGCUAUGUAUGCAUGUGUUCGGUCUUAGUACCAGAAAACGAAAGUUUCCCAUCAAGGAUAUGUCUGUCUUCAGAAGUCAAGCGAUUUCAUAUGCGUGUAUUGUGGUAUCUUUUCUCUGCUUUCAUGGUUGUGAACUGUUGCCUGGUUCACCUGUUGGGGUUGGUUUGUAGGCAGUGUUCUUAGCUGAUUGUUUUACACAUACUACAAUCACUAACCAUACUGCCAACACAACAGCCUGCAGUCAAACACAUAUCACUGUGGAUUUUUUUUCCCUCAAUGUCUUACAGCAUAACACAGAGUGAAAUAUUAUAUGUGGUUAUGCAA